GAUUAACGCUGGCGGCGUGCAUAACACAUUCAAGUCGAACGGUGAGGGGGCUUCGGCCCCUGAUCAGUGGCGGACGGGUGAGUAACGCGUGAGCAACCUGCCCUUGUGUGGGGGAUAACGUUUGGAAACGGACGCUAAUACCGCAUAACCCAACAGUACGGCAUCGUACAGUUGGCAAAGAUUUAUUGCACAAGGAUGGGCUCGCGUCUGAUUAGGUAGUUGGUGGGGUAACGGCCUACCAAGCCCGCGAUCAGUAGCCGGACUGAGAGGUUGAACGGCCACAUUGGAACUGAGAUACGGUCCAGACUCCUACGGGAGGCAGCAGUGGGGAAUAUUGGGCAAUGGGGGAAACCCUGACCCAGCGACGCCGCGUGAGGGAAGAAGGUCUUCGGAUUGUAAACCUUAAACAACAGGGACGAAGAAGGUGACGGUACCUGUUAGGAAGCCACGGCUAACUACGUGCCAGCAGCCGCCGUAAUAC
rnacentral:rRNA from 1 species